CCAUUAAAAUAGCGAAGUUUGUAAGAUGAGAACAGUGGCAAGUAACAAUUCCAUCUUUCAUUCCUUUGUAAGUACAACCAGUUUGUGACCAAUCACCGACACCAUUCUUUAACGAGAAAUCCCAAAAUACACACGCAGUUUCCUCAUAUAUUCCUUCAUCUAACGGUUGAUAUGUUGUUAUAAUUGGAUCUUGCAAGUUAGUUAAUUUUUCCCCUCUAAUAGACCCAGAU